UUGAUCAUGGCUCAGAUUGAACGCUGGCGGCANGCCUAACACAUGCAAGUCGAGCGGCAGCACAAGGGAGUUUACUCCUGAGGUGGCGAGCGGCGGACGGGUGAGUAAUGCCUAGGGAUCUGCCCAGUCGAGGGGGAUAACAGUUGGAAACGACUGCUAAUACCGCAUACGCCCUACGGGGGAAAGAGGGGGACCUUCGGGCCUCUCGCGAUUGGAUGAACCUAGGUGGGAUUAGCUAGUUGAUGAGGUAAUGGCUCACCAAGGCGACGAUCCCUAGCUGUUCUGAGAGGAUGAUCAGCCACACUGGGACUGAGACACGGCCCAGACUCCUACGGGAGGCAGCAGUGGGGAAUAUUGCACAAUGGGGGAAACCCUGAUGCAGCCAUGCCGCGUGUGUGAAGAAGGCCUUCGG
rnacentral:rRNA from 1 species